GAUUGGAUUAGGCAUGCAAGUCGAACGGGAUCCAGGGCUAUAGCAAUAUAAUCCUGGUGAAAGUGGCGUAAGGGUGAGGAACACGUGGAUAAUCUACCCUCAAGUUGGGAAUAACCCGCCGAAAGGCGGGCUAAUACCGAAUGUGGUGUCCUGACGCAUGUUGGGACAACUAAAGGUGGGGACCCUUCGGGGCCUGUCGCUUGGGGAGGAGUCCGCGUCCGAUCAGCUUGUUGGUGGGGUAACGGCUCACCAAGGCUAUGACCGGUAGCUGGUCUGAGAGGAUGGUCAGCCACACUGGGACUGAGACACUGCCCAGACUCCUACGGGAGGCUGCAGUCGAGAAUCAUUCGCAAUGCCCGAAAGGAAUC
rnacentral:rRNA from 1 species